rnacentral:rRNA from 1 species
AGGGUUUGAUUAUGGCUCAGGAUGAACGCUGGCGGCGUGCCUAACACAUUCAAGUCGAACGGAGUUAUCGGAUUAAUCCUUCGGGAAGCGUCUGAGAAGCUUAGUGGCGGACGGGUGAGUAACGCGUGAGCAACCUGCCUUUGCAACCGGGAUAACAGUUGGAAACGACUGCUAAUACGGGAUGACGUACACGGACCGCAUGAUCUGUGUACCAAAGAUGCGUCGUGCAAAGAUGGGCUCGCGUCUGAUUAGAUAGUUGGCGGGGUAACGGCCCACCAAGUCGACGAUCAGUAGCCGGACUGAGAGGUUGAACGGCCACAUUGGAACUGAGAUACGGUCCAG